ACGGAAGGCAGCAGUCGGGAAUAUUGCACAAUGGGGGAAACCCUGAUGCAGUGACGCCGCGUAUAGGAAGAAGGUCUUUGGAUUGUAAACUAUUGUCAACAGGGAAGAAAUUUGACAGUACCUGUGGAGGAAGCCCCGGCAAACUACGUGCCAGCAGCCGCGGUAAUACGUAGGGGGCAAGCGUUAUCCGGAUUUAUUGGGUGUAAAGGGUGCGUAGACGGUUAUGCAAGUUGGUUGUGAAAUCCCUGGGCUCAACUUAGGAACUGCAACCAAAACUGUAUGACUCGAGUGUGGGAGAGGAAAGCGGAAUUCCUAGUGUAGCGGUGAAAUGCGUAGAUAUUAGGAGGAACACCAGUGGCGAAGGCGGCUUUCUGGACCAUAACUGACGUUGAGGCACGAAAGUGUGGGGAGCAAACAGGAUUAGAUACCCUGGUA
rnacentral:rRNA from 1 species